CAUCUUUGCCUAUAAAAAGAGAGCUUCGUCAUUGUAAAUUCAACUUGAUUUGAAGUAAGGAAAUGCUGCCAAUUUUCAGCUUUUACUCUCAAGUUCAUCCUUGUGCAUUGUUAUCUUGCACCUCCUCUAGCUCCUUUCCCCUUUGGAAAGCCUGAUGAGCUAGAACUCUACCAAACAGCCACUCCAAAACACCUCCAGCAUAUUCACAAACACCUUGAGUGCAUCCAGAAACUCCACUGAAUUCAUUCAAUCCGCUGCCAGUUCUCUGCUUCGUGAAGCUUCUUCUGCAUAUUCUGAAGAAACUUCCAUCAUUUGGCAUCAAGAGCCAGCCGUUCCAUUCACGCUCCAAGAGCUAAGCCAUUCUCAUCUUCAUUUUUUUUCCAUUUCCGUGUUGUGUUGUUCUUCUAUGUACUGUUUCAUCAAUUUUCAUUUCUGUUUUGUUCGAAUUUUUGCGUUUCUGUGGAUAUUUAAAUGCAUUCACGUGUUUCUUAGUAUUCUUCUAUCAUUUUCAUGGGUGCAAAUCAUUUGUUUCAGCUCAAUUCAGCUUUGAUAUUUCAUUUCCAGUUUUGUCAAGUCAUGGCUGUGAGUGCAAUUUCAUUCUGUCAUGCUGUCUUGAAUCUGUUCAGCUCUUUUGAUUCUUUCGUUUUUCUUUGAAUCCAGUGCACUUGCAAGCUAUAUGUUGAUCGUGUAAGCAAUGGCAUCAUGUCCAGCUUUGAUCAUUGGAGCUAAAAGCAAUGAACACAUUGUUUUCCAGUAGCAUAUUCUGCAGAAAACUGAUUAUUUCGGGUUUGAUUUGUAAAAUCUGUUUUCGUCCAGAUUUCUGGUGUUGUAAGCUUUGUGCAACUUUAUGUACUGUGUUUGAAUGUGUCUAAAGUAAUUGCAACUCAUAUUCAUCACAUAAUUGCAAAUUGAAUGGUUAAGUUCAUCCAAAUCUGAUUUCAAAUUCUGCAUAAAAGUCACUUUUGGCUUGAUCAUGUGCACAUUGUGUUGGUCCAGAUUUCUGAAUCCUACUGCUUGAGACAAGUUUAUUUGAUGCAUUUUUACAUGUUUCAAGAGUUACCAAUCAGAAUUCAACACUGAAUCUUAAAAAGACUGGUUGAGUUCUUCAUAAUUAGUCUUCAAAAUCUGCAUCAAAAGUUGCUUACUGGUCAUAUUAUGCAAUCUGUUUCUGUCAAGAUUUCUUAAGUUUGAAGUUGAACACAAGUUUGUUUCAAGUUUCCAAACAUGUUUCAAGUAGUCUCAACUCAGAUUUACCACUGAUUUCAGAAAAGCAUACUUGAGUGCUUCAAAAAUCUCUAAAACUGUGCUGUCAUAUGCUGUUUUCAAAAGCUUUUGCACCAUGUUGCUAUCAUUAUUUGUAUUAGGACAUUUGCUAUUUCCCUAGCUCAAUUUCUGAAGCUAGAUCUAGACUUAGGACCUUUCCUACAUGUUUCUUGAUCUAGCCAUCUUUGCUUCUGCUGUUUUUAGUCAUUUCAAGUGAUGUUUUAUGCACUUUUUCUGCAUAAUUUGGCAACUACCACACUGUUUUUGAGAUGGCGUGCCUGCCUGUGCAUUUUCAAUGGUUCAACAAGUGUAUUUGGUCAAUUUAAACUUGUCCACACUGUUCAUUUGGUCAUUUUUCAGUUUAUGUGCAAAAUCACUAUAAAACCAUUAAAUUUGCUUGAAUUUGGGAAGUGAACCAAUGAUAUUUUGUUGUGGUUACUUUCUUUGCUGCCUAAGUGAUUGCACACAUUCAAUUUCAUAAUAUAAACUUGUUGGAACUAUCAUUUGAGCAUUAACCACACUAGCAUUCAAGUUGACUACUGUUGUUUCCAUUUUUUUUCCAGCUUUUGUUUCUGGUGCAGUCACAAGUCCUUUGCUGUUUGACAUUGUACAUUUGUUUGAUUUACAUUUCUGGAUUGGCAAGAGCUGGGAUUUUGUUUCCAUAUAUACUUUUCACUGCUUAUACCAAUGAAAACAAAUAAUAUAAAAAGCAAAUUACUCCUUACAAUCUAGUUUUGAAAGUCAAAAACCAGAAAACACAAAAAUAUGUUAUUCUUUGUGGCAUUUCAUCAAACAGUUUUGUAUUUCAUCAAACAGUUUCAUUCCACACAAUUCAAUCACUGUUUUUGGGUUUUUUUCUUGCUUUUCUAAUCUGUUCUAGACCCUAUCUUAAGUUCCUUUUGUGUGCUAGCCUUUAUUCCAGCCCCAAAGUGUUUAGAAAUCACUUUUCUUGACUUCCAUAUUUUGUUGUCAUAACUCGGGUGGAGACAGUGACAAACCAACUUGACACGAAUGGAGAACUAUUGCUAGCAAGCCAGGUUGUGGUGAAGAUUCUCAGGUCAUUAAUCGGUGACUUUGAGAGCAUAGUUUGCGCCAUCAAAGAAUCCAAGGACUUGUCAACACUCUCAGUGGAAUAAGUUGUCCGAUCCUUAGAGGCACACAAGCAGUGAAGAAGGAAGAAUUGGCCGGAGCUCGAAACACUCAAGGCCAAAGUUUUGGUGGAAGAGGCUGAGGUAGCUUGAGGUCGAGGAGGACGUUGUUGAGGACAAGGUUAUUAGAAUGAUUUGAAAGAGGAGUUAUGGUACCAAAGAGUUGGGAUGUAGAAAAAGAGAAAAAAAAACGCAGUGUAGAAAAGUCAAGUUGAAGCUAAGGGCCCCCUCAAAGGCCCUGACCGCCAGCCAGUCAAGAUGAUAACAUCUACUAAUGGAUGCUAGGAGGACUCAGAUGACAGCAUCUACUGAUGGAUGCUGCUAUGAUGAGGGUGAUGAAUGAAAACAUCUACUGAUGGAUGCUAUGUGAUUAAGUGUCUAUUGAUGGAUGCUACUGACGACAUCUACUGAUGGAUGCCAAUGAAGAUGAGAAAGAUCAAUAUUUACUAAUGGAUUCUGAUUAGAAAGAUUAGACAUCUACUGAUGGAUGCUGAUGAAGAUGAGAAAAAUUAUCAUCAACUGAUUGAUGCUGAUGAGAAGAAUUCGCAUCUACUGAUGGAUGUUGGAAGAUUCAGAUGAUAGCAUCUACUGAUGGAUUCUGAUGAGAAGGAUUCACAUCUACUAAUGGAUGCUGGAAGAUUCAGAUGAGUGCAUCUAUUGAUGGAUGAUAUGCUACUAGACAUCUACUAAUGGAUGUUACUGACAACAUCUACUGAUGGAUGCUACUAGAUCAUGAUUUAUUGUGCUUUAUUUUUAUGCUUAUUUAAAUUUUGUUUAUUUUGUUUUUAUUUUAGCUUGCUUAUGUACUUGGUUUAAUGAAUUUUGCUGCAAUGGUUUGGU